AACGUAGGACGCAAGCGUUGUCCGGAUUUAUUGGGUUUAAAGGGUGCGUAGGCGGGUAAUUAAGUCAGUGGUGAAAGCCGACAGCUCAACUGUCGAACCGCCAUUGAUACUGGUUAUCUUGAGUAUAGUUGAGGCAGGCGGAAUUUACGAUGUAGCGGUGAAAUGCAUAGAUAUCGUAAAGAACACCGAUAGCGAAGGCAGCUUGCUAAACUAUAACUGACGCUGAGGCACGAAAGCGUGGGGAGCAAACAGG
rnacentral:misc_RNA from 1 species